GCGCAAACCGAGGGUUAUUCAGCUGAGCCAAGACACCAAUGCUAGGUCUCGAUGUGCCGGAGUCCGUGCUCACACUUCGGAGCACUGCCGGUGUCAUGCCCCGAGCCCGCCUAUUUGGCCGAGUUCGGGCGCGUCGACAGACCGCCGAACGGACAGAGUUUUCCCUGUACGUCCUAGGCGUCGCAAUCAAUACAAUGAACAUUACAAGGGUUCCAACCAGGAACAGAUAUCAAUCAUGAUUGCAUAAGAAAAGUAUCACAAUAUAACACAUCCUAAGUUAUUACAUGCAUUCACAAUAAUACAUUUACUUUACAUCCAACUCCCAAAUGCAAUUAAGUUAUUACAUCAUUUGCUUAUUACAAAUUGAUACAUUGUAUUCUUUUCAUUUCCCAAACCCCUAGGCUAUGUCGACGGGGUAUUGCUAUCUCUGGUCUCUGGGUAGGGCGCUAUCUAUGGAGCUACGCCCUUUCCUCGCGCCGCCGUGUCGCUCACGUGCCAACCUGAAACACCCAAAAAUAACGUGGGGUGAGAACCAACUCCAUGGUUCCCAGUGGGUACGACCACCCAAGGGAAGAACUCGACCGAUAGGUCCAAGGAGGCAUUGCAAUCAUGUUAGUCCAAAAACAUCUACAGAUAUAUAUAUCGUAAUGUAAUUAUGCAACUAACAAAUAACAUGCCUCGCGAUAUGCAAUAUGAAUAUAUGCAACUAUGCAACUGUAUAAACAACUAGUAGAUAUGUUGAUUCUACGUUUACUUUCUAACUUUAGCUCUUACCUUUAUCACUAGCUUAUAAGGUUUCUAUUAACCUAAUCAAGCUAACCACCUGACUCGGCCUCGAGUCAAUCAUCCGCGGAUAGUCCGCGCACUGGCUGCACAUCAGCCUGGCUGCCGUCACAGCCUACCGCAAAUCUGACUUAACCAUCUGGUGGCGAACUCAUCGCAUCGAACCCAACAACAACUCAAGUCAUGACUUAGCCAUCUGGCGGCGAACUAAUCGCACCUCACCCAACAAUGGUUCAAGACGUGACUUAGUCAUCUGGCAGCGACCACAUCGCUCUUACCCAGCAAGGUUCAAGUCAAUCUAGGCGGCAUCAUCUGAUAAGCUAAUGGGCGAGGAGAACCACACAUACCCAAUUCCAGCUUAUUCUCAUGGCAUCCCGGGCGAGGAGAACCACACAUACCCGUUGAAUCACUGCCAGGCGAGGAGAACCACACAUACCUGCAGUUAGGAUUCGCUUGCCAUCUCUUUUACCACAAUUUCCACCGCUCCAUGUGCGGCCACAUCACUAGGGAUUCCGGAAUCCACUUCAUAUAGCUCAAGGGUUGGUUUCAAACCCUAUAGUAUUGACCUAUCUAGGUCCAAUGUCCUUUUCACCCUAGGUCCAAUUGACUCUAGGUUCAACGUCUCUAUCACAUAACCUAGGUUUACUUAACUCUAGGUUCAAUCCAUAACCUAUGUCCUUUAACACUAGGUUAGAUGCCACUCAUGAUUCAUCCUAGGUUCAACAACACUAGGUUCAUUGUCAUUCAUGUCCAACCUAUGUUUUAUACACUAGGUUAGAUGCCACUCGAUCUAGUUCACAUGACUCUAGAUUCAUUCACAACCUAUGUUCUUUAACACUAGGUUAGGUGCCACUCGAUCUACUUGACAUCCUAUUGUCAUCUCGAGUCUACAUGUACACGAAUCUUAUCCAACAUGCUCAUUAUACACAUAUGUAUUAAUAUGCAUUCACUUACUAGCAUGGUUUCUUACCAUAUUAACAUGCACAUUACAUUUAGCAUUUCUAGACUAUGUCAUCAACAUGCAUUUCAUUCUAUGCAUUAUAUUUACAUGCAUCCUUCUAGUUUACAUGCAUAUAUAUAAUCUUUUAUAUGCAUCUACUUUAGCAUUUACAUCAUAUCAUGCAUUACUAGCAUUACAUUAUUAUCAUGCAUUACUAGCAUUAUGUAACUUGCUCACUAUGCAUUUCUACUUAGCAUUCACAUUAACAUGCAUUGUUUAACACUUAUAUGCAUCAACACGAAUUCUUAAUAUUCUUAGACAUAAGGGCGACCUAGUCGUUUCGGUAAGCACAACCCACCUUAACUUACUCUCCGAUUGCUUGUAGUCACUUGCAAUCGGCCGCCCGCGACACCCGCGACCCGGUUUGGCUCGAACUCUCGCGCGACCACCCAAACGAUCUCCGAUUUGCGAUCCGGAAAUUAAAGGUCUUCGGUUAUGUACCACGGUGCUUCAAAUCCGUUUUCAUGAUUUUACGACAUCACCUCGGCCCUCCAGGCGGAAACGAAGCCUAAACGUCCAUUUCUU
rnacentral:lncRNA from 1 species